UACGUAGGGGGCGAGCGUUGUCCGGAUUUAUUGGGCGUAAAGAGCUCGUAGGCGGUUUGGUAAGUCGGGUGUGAAAACCCCAGGCUCAACCUGGGGACGCCACCUGAUACUGCUAUGACUUGAGUCUGGUAGGGGACCACGGAAUUCCUGGUGUAGCGGUGAAAUGCGUAGAUAUCGGGAGGAACACCAGUGGCGAAGGCGACUACCUGGCCUGUUCUUGACGCUGAGGCGCGAAAGCUAGGGGAGCAAACGGG
rnacentral:rRNA from 1 species